ACUAACGCUGGCGGCGUGCUUCACCCCUGCCUGUCGAACGGAAAGGCCCUGCUUUUGUGGGGUGCUCGCGUGGCGAACGGGUGAGUAACACGUGAGUAACCUGCCCUUGACUUUGGGAUAACUUCAGGAAACUGGGGCUAAUACCGGAUAGGAGCUCCUGCUGCAUGGUGGGGGUUGGAAAGUUUCGGCGGUUGGGGAUGGACUCGCGGCUUAUCAGCUUGUUGGUGGGGUAGUGGCUUACCAAGGCUUUGACGGGUAGCCGGCCUGAGAGGGUGACCGGCCACAUUGGGACUGAGAUACGGCCCAGACUCCUACGGGAGGCAGCAGUGGGGAAUAUUGCACAAUGGGCGGAAGCCUGAUGCAGCAACGCCGCGUGCGGGAUGACGGCCUUCGGGUUGUAAACCGCUUUCGCCUGUGACGAAGCGUGAGUGACGGUAAUGGGUAAAGAAGCACCGGCUAACUACGUG
rnacentral:rRNA from 1 species